ensembl:snRNA U6 U6 spliceosomal RNA
AAACUUAGCAAUGUGAGUGUAUACUAAAAAAUUGGAACGAUACAGAGAAGAAUAGCAUGGCCCCUGCGCAAGGAUGACACGCAAAUUCGUGAGUGUAUAAAGUCAACU